GAUGAACGCUAGCGGCAGGCUUAAUACAUGCAAGUUGAGGGGCAGCAUGAUAUACGCGAGUAUAUUGAUGGCGACCGGCGGACGGGUGAGUAAUAGGUAGGUAACCUACCUCAUACUGAGGCAUAGCUGGGAGAAAUUCCAGGUAAUUCCUCAUGAGGUUAUAUGACACAUGUGAUAUAAUCAAAGGUAUCGCAAGGUACUGGUAUGAGAUGGGCUUACUGACCAUUAGCUAGUUGGUGAGAUAAGAGCUCACCAAGGCGAAGAUGGUUAGGGGUUUUGAGAGAGAGAUCCCCCACAUUGGAACUGAGAUACGGUCCAGACUCCUACGGGAGGCAGCAGUAGGGAAUAUUGGGCAAUGGGCGGAAGCCUGACCCAGCCAUGCCGCGUGAAGGAAGACGGCCUUAUGGGUUGUAAACUUCUUUACUAUGCGACUAACUAGAUUUACGAGAUAAUUCUAUAGAAUGUAGCAUAGA
rnacentral:rRNA from 1 species